CGGAAGUGUGGGAAAGAGCUGGGUGAGGAGGAGCUUCUGGAGAAGGAGGCAGAACUGAGGAGGAGUGGGGCCGAGCUGGGGAAAAAGCCGGGCAGGCCACCUCCCGUCCAAGCCACCCUGCGACUGCUGGCCGAGUCCUGAGGGACAGUCUUUAUCUGGCCUUUUCUGAGGGCCGGUGCUGCUGUCACCUGAGUCUCCCCAGCGGCCGGGACGCCUCCUGUCUGUCCUCCUCCAGUGGGUGCCCCACAGGCCAUCGGUUCCGUGUCACACCGCACAUCUGUCCUCAUCGACCCCGGGCUGAAGACCCUGCCGAGCUCUCUCCUGUUUAAGCCCCAACACCUCCUUGGUGCCCUGGGAGGGCCUUCGGGCGGCCCCAGCUCUCCGUCCUUGUCGCCCAACACCCUGGGUGCCUGUGCUGUCCGUGCACGCUGCGCGCACGCGCUCUGCGGGUCUCUACACUUCGGCACGUGCGGUUCCCGCUCCUGGAGCCCUGGUUCCUCUUGUCCUGGCGAGCUCCUGUCCUCCUCCCAGGCACAGCUGUAACGUCCCCUUCUCCGCCCGCCGCGAGCGUCAGGAGCUCCCGUCUGGGGUUCUGGCAGCGCCCUGUGCCUUCCUGCUGCCUGCCUUCGCUGGGCUCUUCUUCCCGGGCUGGAGCUGCUCUCCAGGAGUCCCGGGAAGACAAGGACAAGCUCUUACUCGUUCCUGUAAGCCGGGCGCCUGCCACAGCUGCUGCUGAGGGGACGUUGGCUCAACAGAGCACUGCUUUCUCUUCCAGCGAGCUGGCCUCCUCUCUCCUUGCGGAAGCCUGAGGAAACAGGAAUGCCGGCCCCGAGGUGAGGAGCAGAGGGUGCCUUCGUGGAUGUGAGGCCUCGGGGCUGCGGGGCACCUGAGCGAUCAGCAGGUCCAACUCCCUCCAUGCCGGUGUCCCCUCCUCGGCUCGUCGCCCCAGGAGUGGUUGCGAGCUGCGUCCAGACACCCCAGCACCUCGUCGGGGUGGUUUCAAAUCAUGAGGGAGGGUCCCGGGAAUGGUGGGUGGGCUGCUGGCGUUGCUCCCGAAUCCCGGUUUUGAAGAACUGGAACUUGCCCAGUGAGCUAGAGGCACGUGAUCGGUGGCUGCUGGUUGGGGGACAGCUGUGACGGCGCUCCGUAAGGACUCCCUUCUCUGACCCUCCCGUGUGUGCUGAGAGGCGGGGAGCCCCAGGUCCCCCGGGGCGGGGGAGGUCCGGGGUAGUGGCUGCCAGGCCAGUUCGCUGCCGGAUGGGCGGGCGCAGGAGGAAUGGCCUGGCCGUGUUGCAGGUGGGCGUGGGACGGUGUGUGGCUGCCCCCGGGAGAGGGACCCCUCUGCAGCUCAGCCUUGAUCUUCAGUACAGCUAAGUCAGCGCCGAGCCUUCAAACCAUCUGAUUUCUGACUUCCCGGUGACGCUUUCUCCACCUGCUGCUUCCCACACCCUCCAGGAGCAAGGUCCCGGCAGGAACAGGCCUUCUCUCCCUCCUGUCUGCUCACUUGGGGGUCAGCCGGGCCUCCAGCCUGGCCGCUCCCGCCUUCCGCUGCUCGGGCUGCUGCUUCCUCCCAGCCCCUGUGACUGGGCCGCAGCCCACACCCCAGGAGGGAGUCUCCUCCCCAAGCUCCGCUUCCUCCCCCGACACGCUUCUGUCCCCGUGAGGCACCCCAUCUUCCUUCUAGGAAGUCCUCGUCGUUUGCGCCACUGCUCUUUGGGGGGCGGUGCCCCCAGGACAUCGUCUCCUCUCGGAGCCCAGGGCACCUGCUCUGAGUGCACUUCCCCUUCUGACCCCCGCCCGUGGCACCAGCAGACCUCACUGUCCCUGCGACCCAUCUGGGCACUUGCCUCGGCGGCUGCGUCCCCUUCUCGGCCCCGGUGGCCUGGGUGCCUCCAGCCCCCCACCCCAACUGCGUCUUUGAGGCCCGGAGAGGGUUCCAGUUUGCUCCUGCCGCACGUUUGGGGGUACCACCGGUGUGGGACGGGCUCGACCCAAAGUCUCAGUUUCCCUAGUGUCCUCCUUGGUAGGGCUGGUUUCCUCUCUGCAACGCCUUUUGCCCAUCUUUCCACUGAGCUGCGUGUCCUUUUUGUGCCGAGUCGUGGGAGCUCCUUUCGGGGUCCGGGUACUAGUCCCGCCCUGGUUGUUUGUGUUUCAGAUGCCUCCUCCUGCCCCUUGGGGGCUGGUUUCCUCCUCUCUUUGAAGGGCAGCUUUGGACUCGGCAUGCGCCUACACCCUCUCCGACCUGUAAGUGCCCCACACGUCAGGGCGUGUCCCGCCGGCCCACUCCCAGGCCCGCCCCCUGGGGCUGGUGGUCCCCGAGGAGCCGGUGCCCUGGCGUCCAGCGCUCUGCCCGUGAGAAAGGGCUCCUUCUUGACUGGGUAAGUCACUCGGUCAGUGCCUGGCUUUAGUCCCUGCCCUGGACUCACGCAGGGCAAGCCCCGGGGCAGCCGUGCAGCUGCAGGAAGACGGCCGGCCUUGUUUUCUCUGCCCCAGCUCCCGGUUUACCUCCUGCCGCCCCACAUCUGGCCUGUUUCUAAGACGUGCUCCCCUGCCCCCUCCUUCCCCUCUGUCCCCUGGGCAGCUCCUGUUGGCCGUGUCCCUCUCCACACGGCCCAGAUCGAGGGGUCCAGCCUGAGAACCGCAGGUGUUUCUGACUCUGUCUCAGUGACUGGCGCUGCAGGACCUCGGGAAGAAGCUGCACGCAGGGGACCUGCAGACGUGAGCAGCCGCUUGGCCGCCACUGCUCGGGUUGGCGCCUGCGCAGGGAACGUGGCGCAGCACAGGGGGCCUCCUGUGCGCUUCUGGCGAUGCCCCCACUUGCAUUCACGUUACAGACGGUUAUAUCGCCUUUGGCUGGGGGCGGGAGAUGCUCGUCUCCAGGUCUGCGGCACUCCUGAGCUCUUGGGUCUACGUGCUCUUCAGCGUCCUCAGUCUCUGGGCAACGACCCGGGCCCCAGGCCCUCCGCAGCUGGAGGGGGCCUUCCCGACAUCAGGCCGUGGCCCAGUGAAUGGGGCCAGCUUCCUUGUUUGAGAGAUUCAGGAGUGGGGCCGGGGUGCGGGGGUGGGAGUCUGGAGCGAGCGUUGCCAUCCCGUAACCGUGGUCACAGGGCUUGGAUGACAGGACUGCUGUGCUCUGUGCCUGUAGGGCCCGUUCAGCCGCCUCCUGAGUAUCCCUGUGCUCUCCGUGGCGACUUUACAAAGGACAGAGAGGAUGUGAAGAGUCAGGAGCAAGGGACGCCCAUAAGGCAUCGCCUGGAGGCAGGAAGGGUCAUCCCAGGUUCUGAAGGAUUCCUCGGCAGACAUCUCACUAAGCCCUGCGCCUGGUUCCGGAGGAUACUGGAUUGCAGCCUCUCCCUGCUGAAGACCAACUGACAAACCCUCGGGAAUGGCCCUGCGUACCUGGGACCAGUGACAGCCUCUGCUCAGAAACCCCAGCCCAGGGGUCCUCCUGAAGCGGCCGCAGAGACAGAGUUUAUCGCGUCUCCCACAUCAGGGUCAAGCUGGGCCCGGUGUCCACCAGCCUCCAGCUGUCUGGUUGUCCCGCUUCCCGGUGUUGGGUCACCCAGCGCGGAGCCCGAGGUCCCUUUGGGAGGGGCUGGGGGGUCAUUCCAGUGCCUGCUUGCCGUGGUGCUGCAGCGUCCUUCCCGCUGGGGACCCGCCACGUCCCUGGUCCGCGGUUCCACGUCUGAGAACUGGCUCGGGGGCAGAACCUGGGCGAGGGAUCGUGACUUGUUCACUGGGGCGGCUGCCCUCGGCCUCCUGCCGUCCGUCCUUGCUCUUUUGAGUGUCCGUCUUAGACUGUAUCUUGGUUGGUUGCCCAUCCAUCGAGCCCCCGGGAAGCCGUGUUGUACUGACCACCUGCCCCGCUCGGUGGGUCAGGCCUCCUGGUCAGUGGCGGCCAUCGUCAUAGCCCCUGGUUUCUGGCCGCUCAGUGGCGCCCCACGACCUCUGCUGCGGUCCCUGGGCGGCGGGGGAGGGCAGGGGCUCGUCCCUUUCCUCCCUCACCUGGCCUGGCGCGCCCGGCCUGUGUUGUGAGGUGACUUCGCUCUGCUUGGGGGCCUGGCAGUGGGCUGACCACCUCUCCCCAUUUUUCCUGCACUCUCCUGCUUGUAGCGCUUCAGGUCCCACAGCAAAUCGGGGCGGCUGGCUACCCUGUCUCCUGGGACGGAGGGCACCUGUGGGGAAGGACGCGGGUCAUGUUUGCUCCCUCGGGGGUGAGUUGGGGACGCCAGCUCUUUAGGGGGAGGGGUGUGCCGCUGCCUCAGGCUCAGAAGCUCAGAGACAUCUGGGGAGCCCCGCUCUUCUGGGGCUUCCUCCCAGUCUCCCUGGUCCUCGUGUCAAGGAUGCAGGUUUGCCCAGGUGGGCUUCCGAUGCUGGCGGGACGGGCGUGCCUUGGUUGAACAUUCAGCGUCUUUGAGGUUCAGCCACUUCUGUCGAAUCCUGGGUUGGACGAUUGUCCGCUGCCUGAGAUGGGGGCUCCUUUGUAAGGUACUGGGGAGACCCUGGGGCCCCCUUUUUUCUCACUUUGCUCUUCACCCUAAGCUGCUCAUCCCCUAUGGUCGGCAAAGCAAAGAGGUCACCUUCCCCUGUGCCCCCCGCGUUCCGCACGCUUGGAUCUUCUCGCCUGCCAGGACGUUCCUCUCCCCCUGCCAGCCCAGCGAACGUUCUAGCAUGAGAGUUCUAGCAACUGGGCUGCGGCCUUGCGGCCGGGGCUGUCCGCCCGCACACCACCCAUCCCCGGGGUGGGGUCCUCAUUGCCAGUGAGGCGGGUGAUGACAAUCCCGUACCAAGACCCCAUCUCAUCACCUGCUCCUUGGACCACUCCAGGGCCGGCCGGCUCGGGUUGCGUCCCUCGGGAAGCUGAUCCCGGGAGAGAGUUAGUGCCAAAGGCUGGCUGGGGACUCACACCCACUAAGGGGACAGGGAGCAAGCAGGGUUGGGCAGGGUGUCCCUUCAACCUGCGAUGUCGACCUGACAGUUUCUGCCAGCCCGUCGGGGAGCUGCAGAGCACGGACGGGCAUUAGAGGUCCCCGCAGUGGGCCCCCGUGGUCAGGCCCUCGCAGCGCCCGAGGCCUUGCGAUCCACAUCGACUGACCGGGAGAACCAACACCCAGAAGUGGUGCCCGAGGGGUGGCUGCGUGCGCGCACGGGGCGCCAGCUGCCUUUGCCCGGGCAGCACCUUGCUCUGCCCUGCGGCCGGCCUGGUGGGAGGUGCUUUGGCUUCUUGUGCAUCAGACGACCGCUGGGUUGGGCAGGGGACGUGCUUCCAGGGCGUUGGCUGACUGGCCAUCUGUCAGCGUCAUCGGUGUCAGCGCAGCUUGAUGGGAGAGGGCAGAUCUGGGUACCAGGCGUCAGAAGGCAAAGCCCAUUUAAGUCCGCAGACGUCCGUCCUGUGAGAGGGUCCUGGACUGUGCAGGGACACAGGUGUCCACUCGCCCUUGGGUUACUCAGGGCUGGUGGGGGAGGGGCAUCUUCCAGGCAGACCUGUAAAGCACAGAGUCUGAAACGAGGCGGAAGGAGGGCAACGUGAAGAGCGGGGAAGCCCUGACUCAGAGCCAGGGGCUGCGGAGGGCUUCAGGGAGGAGGGCCGUCUGGGCUGGGUCUUGAAGUGAGAAGGGUCUCCUUAGCUGGGAGAUGGGGGACGGGCCCCCUGGAAGGGCCAGACACGUUCAGGGGACUGAGUCCAGGUGCUUGUGGAGCCAGUUCAUGGGAGAGGAAGCUGGGAAACCAGACUGGGUUCAACUCGGAGGCCACCCUAAGGAGUCAGGCCUGUGCGCUGCGUACAGUAGAUCAAUGCCCUCACUUGCGCUUUUAAAGGCAAACCACUGUUUCUCUCCCUGAGAAGAAUUCAUCGAUUCACUCAUUUGGUUAGUCGGUGAUCUGACAAACCUCUGUGUGCCUCCCAGGCCAGGCAGCAGUUAGAGAAGAGCGGCACGCGGGUGAGUAAGGUGUCGCUCCGCGUGCAGGUGCUUGUCCUUGCCGAUCUGUACACGUGCGCCUUUCUCUGCAGGCGGCCUCCUUUUCCUGGCUUGUGAUGAGGUUUCCAAUUCUUGUUCCUGACUUCAGAAAGAAGAUUAGAGAGACGCCGGAGUUUGCCGAGAGAAGGGAACUAAAUCUAAAAGAGUGAAUCCAUCUGUCCUGAUUCUCCAACUGCCUUGCCUUCUUGUUUUGGGGAUUCAGAAUCUGGACGUCAUGGCCCAGUCACUGAAUUGGGAAUUUCUAAGUCCCUUGGAGUCCAAAAGAAAGACCAUUCUAGAUGUCAGACUGCCAUCCAGGGCUGUGCAGCAACUGAGUGAUGAGAAAAUACCCCACUAUGCGAUCCUGGCGUGCACUAAUAUUUAGGGUGAGAGAACAUGCUUAAAUCGUCUUACCAAUUUGACAGGAAUGAUUUCAAAUCUGGCACACUGUGGCCUCACUCCUCGCCAGUGUGCCCCUGGAAGAGCAAGCCAUGCUACAUGAGUCCCUGCCACUCUCCUGAAUAAGCUUCCAGGCAUUACCUACAUGUUGUGUUCCUGUGGAGGGAUGGCAGUAAUCUCAGCUAAGAUAAACCGGAGCUUCUGUGGAUAAAGCGUAAAGGCAGUGAAGUGUGUGCUGUAAGAUUUAACGCCUCUACAGUGCUUAGAUGCAAGUUGAGCUUGGAAUUCCAGAGGUAGAGCAUUGCUGAUUGGAGGCAUAUUAAGAGAAAAGUACUGUGGAAAUGAGAUAAAACCUUUAUUCUUGCUAUUGACUGUUGUCUUCGUAUGUGUACAGAUUCACAAGAGGAUCUUAUUCACAUCUUUAUUGUGAGAAUUUGGUGGAUUUCCUGAAAUUUGGGGGGUGCCCCUGUGCCUUCAGUCCUCAGAAGUUUCUCACUCUUACAGUAGUCCACAUUCUUCCUCCAGCAAUUUGUAAAAAUUACCAGUUUUGGUGUUCCUACCAGUUUAUAUUCCAGAGCCUUCUUUUCCAGUAGCUUUACAGUGGAGAAAACUGGAAGAAAUCUCCUUAACCAAGUCAUCAAGGCUGACAUCACCAGUAUGUCAUAUUGAUACCAUGUACUUCCUGAUACUAUGUGAUGAGAAAGGUACUUCACUUCUGUGCUAUCCUUUCCCAAGAUACAUAAUCCCAAUUUAAUCAUGAGAAAACAUCAGACAAACCCAAACUGGGGGACAUUCUACAAAGUACGUGACGAUCUUUAAAAUUGUGAAGGUCGUGAAACACAAGGAAACAUUGAGAAAUUGCCAUAAAUUGGAGGCAACUAGGAAGAUAGCAUGACUAAAUGCAGCAUAAUAUUCUGGAUUCAAUCCUGGAACAGAAAAAGGACAUUAGUGGAAAGAUUUGUGAGGCACAUUAUACAAAAUAACUGCUCAGUGCUCUUCAAGAUCAUGAAAGAUGUGGAAGGACUGAUAAACUGUCAUACAUUGGAGGAAACUAAAGAGAUAUGACAACUAAAUGCAACAUGGUAUCCUGAAUUUGAUCCUGGAACAGAAAGUGGACAUUACUGGAAAAAUUAGUGAAAUCCAAAUAAAAUCUAUAGUUUAGUUAAUAGUAUUGUACCUAGGUUAAUUUCUUAGUUUUGAUAACUGCACUAUGGUUAUGUAAAAUUUUGAUGUGAGAAAUGCUAAAUGAAAUGUGUGUGGCAGCUGUCUGUGCUGUUUUUACAACUUUUCUGUAAUUUUAAAAUUAUUUCAAGAUCAACUUAAAAGCUAACACCCCCCCUCUCCCCCAGAGAUUCUAAUGUGUAGUCAGGGCUGAGAACUGCUGCUAUCUCAUCCAUUAGGUCCUGCCUCAUGGGUUUCCACUGUGUUCUCCUACUCUCCUCCAUCAAAAUUGCCCUGCUCUGGAGGGAUUUGUUCUCAACUGGCUGCUGGUCUAAAUAGAAUGAGGGAAAAAUAUUUCUACCACUAUCCCAGUGGGAAACUCAUUUCAAAGUUACUAGUAUGGGUACUAUCCCAUCUGCUCUAGCCAGGUGCCAUUGUAUAGUAAGAAUUUCCACCUGAGAGAUUCAUUCCUUUGUGUAAAGCAUCAUUACAUCAUCAUUUUUCAAGCAGCGCUUAUGGAUACUGGAACAUAAAUUCAAUAAGAAUUAUGAGUCAUGUGAAUUGGUAUAUCAGGGCAUUUUCUACAACACCACAAAACACUGGGCAUCUGUGGAGGAGAGAGCUAAAUUUGUCUAGAGUUCGCCACAAUCCAUUUUAACUCUCUAAACAGAGAAGGCCAGUCCUUGGUGGGAGGCAGGAGGCUGGCACUGUGGGUAGUUAGAGCCAGGUAAUUCAAGACAGCACUCAGAGCGUGAUUCUCAGGUCUUAGAGAACUGCCUAAGGUAGAGAGAUGGUUGACAUCUUGGAUAGCGAACUCCUGUUGCUAUGACAGCUUCCGGGAGCACACUUGUCUCAUCGGAGUCUGGGGCUUAUUCAGUUGGCUCCGCCCUCUCCUGGAGUGCUCUGUUUCUUAAAAGGGACUUGCCCUUUAUUUUGCUAGGAUUAGUCAUUAUGGGUUGGUGAAUUGCCCUUUCCCCGCCUCCACCCCAGCUUUUCAUCUGCACCCUAGAAGGGAGGCUUGUGUCUUUGGGCCUGCUGAGAGUCCUCCAAGAGAGCUGAGCUGAGAGAAAAUUAAGAACAGCUGGGCGUAGACACAAUGACAUCAUGUGCCUCUAGCAUAAAAAGCAGCUCACAAACUCUGAUUCAAGGAGAGAAAAAUAAUGGGAACUGGAGAAAGGGGCUGAGACUUGGGAACUAUGCAAAGGCUGAUUACCGGGGAAGACAAGAGAGAUUAAGCUGGGAGCACAAGAGCUAGCUGAGCUAUUGGAACUCUUAGUAAGGACCUAUUAAUCUAGUAUUUAGCACUUGGAGUCUAUAGAUUUAGCAGCUAAAACUAAAUGGGAACAGAUUGGUGAAAGCUGUGAAAAUGCCCUGAGGUAGUCUAUAGCUAGGAGUAAGAUUAAUAAAGGAAAUGGUUAGAAACUGAGCUUUAUUGCAGAGUAACUUGCAAAUUGGACUCUUUGCAUAUACUUUCCUCUUUUCUCAAUUAUUCUAUAGGAAGUUGCAUGGUUUACACAUAAAAGUAAAUUUAUUGGUGUGCAUGUAUCUUUUCAAAUUAGUGUUUUUGUUUUGUUGGAAUAAAUACCCAGGAGUGGAA